rnacentral:rRNA from 1 species
UGGGGAAUCUUGCACAAUGGGGGAAACCCUGAUGCAGCGACGCCGCGUGAGUGAUGAAGCCCUUCGGGGUGUAAAGCUCUUUCGGCAGGGACGAUAAUGACGGUACCUGCAGAAGAAGCUGCGGCUAACUACGUGCCAGCAGCCGCGGUAAUACGUAGGCAGCAAGCGUUGUUCGGAAUUACUGGGCGUAAAGAGUGCGUAGGCGGUUUGGCAAGUUUGGUGUGAAAUCUCCUGGCUUAACUGGGAGGGUGCGCCGAAAAACUGUCAGGCUAGAGUGUGGGAGAGGAAAGCGGAAUUCCUGGUNGUAGCGGUGAAAUGCGUAGAUAUCAGGAGGAACACCUGCGGUGUAGACGGCUUUCUGGACCACUACUGACGCUGAGGCACGAAAGCGUGGGGAGCAAACAGGAUUAGAUACCCUGGUAGUCCACGCCCUAAAACGAUGCGGACUUGGUGUUGGCCCUUCAUUGGGUCAGUGCCGCAGUUAACGCGGUAAGUCCGCCGCCUGGAGNNCGGUCGCAAGGCUGAAACUUAAAUGAAUUGACGGGGUCAUAGCUGUUUCCUG